rnacentral:tRNA from 1 species
AUCUAAAUAGUUUAUUAAAAAUAUUGAUUUGUGGCAUCAAAGAUAUAAGAUUUUAUUUUAGGUA